ACUGUUAUCAUUACUCUCGUUGCUUUGGCGGGCCGUUGGGCCCUGCCCGGCCGCCGGCUCCGGCUGGCGCGUGCCCGCCAGAGGCUCCGCAGACUCUGAAUGUUAGUGUCGUCCGAGUAACUAUACAAUCGUUAAAACUUUCAACAACGGAUCUCUUGGUUCUGGCAUCGAUGAAGAACGCAGCGAAAUGCGAUAAGUAAUGCGAAUUGCAGAAUUCAGUGAGUCAUCGAAUCUUUGAACGCACAUUGCGCCCUGUGGUAUUCCGCAGGGCAUGCCUGUUCGAGCGUCAUUUCAACCCUCAAGCCCGGCUUGGUGUUGGGCCCUGCCCGUGGUGGCUGGCCCUAAAGACAGUGGCGGCGCCGCCUGGCCCUCAGCGUAGUACAGCUCUCGCUCCAGGGUCCGGCGGUGGCCUGCCAGAACCCCCAACUCUGUGGUUGACCUCGGAUCAGGCAGGGAUACCCGCUGAACUUAAGC
rnacentral:rRNA from 1 species